GAUGAACGCUGGCGGCGUGCUUAACACAUGCAAGUCGAACGAAGCACUUUAUUUGAUUUCCUUCGGGACUGAUUAUUUUGUGACUGAGUGGCGGACGGGUGAGUAACGCGUGGGUAACCUGCCUUGUACAGGGGGAUAACAGUUGGAAACGGCUGCUAAUACCGCAUAAGCGCACAGCAUCGCAUGAUGCAGUGUGAAAAACUCCGGUGGUAUAAGAUGGACCCGCGUUGGAUUAGGUAGUUGGUGAGGUAACGGCCCACCAAGGCGACGAUCCAUAGCCGACCUGAGAGGGUGACCGGCCACAUUGGGACUGAGACACGGCCCAAACUCCUACGGGAGGCAGCAGUGGGGAAUAUUGCACAAUGGGCGAAAGCCUGAUGCAGCGACGCCGCGUGAGCGAAGAAGUAUUUCGGUAUGUAAAGCUCUAUCAGCAGGGAAGAUAAUGACGGUACCUGACUAAGAAGCACCGGCUAAAUACGUGCCAGCAGCCGCGGUAAUACGUAUGGUGCAAGCGUUAUCCGGAUUUACUGGGUGUAAAGGGAGCGCAGGCGGUGCGGCAAGUCUGAUGUGAAAGCCCGGGGCUCAACCCCGGUACUGCAUUGGAAACUGUCGUACUAGAGUGUCGGAGGGGUAAGCGGAAUUCCUAGUGUAGCGGUGAAAUGCGUAGAUAUUAGGAGGAACACCAGUGGCGAAGGCGGCUUACUGGACGAUAACUGACGCUGAGGCUCGAAAGCGUGGGGAGCAAACAGGAUUAGAUACCCUGGUAGUCCACGCCGUAAAC
rnacentral:rRNA from 1 species